UCCAUUCCUCCCUUCCCAGUUCACACGCCGCCUUCUUCACGCACAGCGGCACAGGCAUACGCUAGGAAACCGAACAGGCAAUGUGUUGCCUGAGCCCUUCACCUUCCGCCUCCGCGACCUCGUCGCGGCGGGGUCAGAUCGUCGCCUCGGAGUGGCCGCCGGGUUCGUCGAGCGGCUCGAACCCGCCCUCCGAUGGCCCGCCGCCUUCGCCAGAUCCGCCGCCCCAGGCCGUCGGCACCGACGACGAGGAAUUCGGCGGCAGGCCGGCCAAACGCGCUCGCCCGGAGUCCGGCUGCGGGGAUGGGGUUUGCACCGCGGAUCGGCCGGCCGGGGACGGCAGGGAUCGGAUCAGCGAUCUCCCGGACGCCGUUCUUCUGUCCGUCCUCUCCUUCGUCCCCCUCCGCGAUGCCGGGCGGACGGCGGUUCUCUCGUCGCGGUGGCGCGGCCUGUUCAACCAAUCCCUCCUCGACUUCAACGCGUGCCAGCCGUUCCCGCCGGAGGAAGGCCGCGGCUGCGACUGGUUCAUCCGCGCGGUCACGGGCAUCCUCGCCGCUCGGCCGCGCACCCCCAUCCGGAGCUUCCGCUUCGUCAUGUACGGGAGGGGCUUCGACGGCCGCCUGGGCGUCGUCGACCGCUGGUUCCGCGCCCUCGCCCGUCACCGCCUGCGAGAAUUGGACGUCGACAUGUUCUACGCGGCCCCCAUGCCGACGCUCCCGGGGUCCCUUCUCAAGCUCGCCUCCCUCGAAACCCUCAAAUUGUUUUACUGCAGAUUUCCCAAUGCCGGAUCGGCGCCGGCGCCGCGCCUCCCCGCCCUCAAGAUACUGGACCUAUCCAAUGUGAACGUGUCCCAGGAAUCCCUGCAGGCUAUCCUGUCCCACUGCACUUCCCUGGAGUGCGUGAAGCUCAAGAACAUCACGGGAGUGGACAAGAUUUCCCUUCGGUCCAAGAGCUUGGCGCGCCUGUACGGUGACUUCGGCGACUUGAAAGAGCUCGUCGUUGAGGACGCACCAAACCUCAAAGAAUUGGUGGGGAUCGGUUUGCCGAGCGGCAAGGCGAAGGUGAAGAUCGUCUUCGCGCCCACGCUGCUGGUGCUGGGAUACCUGGGGAUCAGCGUCCGCCCACUCGUGCUGCAUGAUACCGUGUUUGAUGGAGGGAUCGUGCAGCUCAGGACACUGAUGCACAGUGUCAAGACUCUGGCCAUCCUAGUGCCCUUCUCCGAGAAGGGAUACACCGUCUUCGUUGCUCAAUUGCUCAAAUGUUUCCCCCGUCUUGAGGCACUCCACAUCGAGCCUAAUAAACGUUCCAUUUCCCGGCGGGUUAAUGUUGAAGAAUGGGACACUGCAAAUUCUAUUCAGUGUAUUGAGCAUUCCAUCAACAGAGUGGUCUUUGAGUGUUUUGGAGGGGAAGACUGCCAGUGGGGGUUUCUGACCUUUCUGCUUGGGAUGGCAAGAGCUCUGAAGCUUGUAGAGCUCUACUGUUGGACUGGCAAGGAUUGGGCCAGUGACCAGAUAGAGGUACUGAACCCUAAAAAUAGAGCCUCCCCGGAUGCCGAGAUCCAGUUUUUCAGACUUUGUAAGCCGAUCAGUGAUCUUUAUUUGUGCCACUGCUGCACUCAGCGAUGCCAGAAGGAAAACAGAGUUGCUCUGAUAUAAGCUGAUCAAGCUUCACAUGCUGAAUUCUGAGGAUGAUUUGAAGCAGCAGAAGAAUCAGGUGCUGUUACUGUCCCGAUCUUGCUUGCAAUUUCAGGUGUCAACUGAAGCUUUCUAAUUCCGUCCAGGGUGCACAAGUUGUGAUAUUUACAUCUGAAGUACGAGGAACUGUUUAUUUAUUAGUUAGCGACAGGAUAACAAUGUGUGCAGGUUGCAGACUGCCAGCCUAGCAAGUAGAAGGCUAGUUCCUUGUUGCCCUGGUUGGAUGUGUAUCAACUAGCAAGUAAGAUAGCCAUGAUUUAGCAUUUAUGAAUGAAAUAAGAUAGCUUGUAGUCUUGUACAUAUAGGGGUAAUAUCUAUAUCCAUGAAAUUGCUGUCAAUUGCAUGAGAGUAUUUAGCUUUGAGCACCAGGCUCUUUUGACUCAAUGUUGUCAGGUCACCAUUUUAAUACUCCCCAGGUUUCUUCAGCUUGUAUAUCAUUGUUUCUGGUCACCUUUCAAUAAUUCAGUUAGUUCGUCCAAUAUGGUCUUUGUUUGCUAUUUCAGUAACUGUCAUCAUCUCAGCAGUCGAUUCUCUGUUCGUGGAUUACAAAUCUUUUUUUCUGAAAGAACAGCAUGACAUUCAGCAUCAAGUCAAACUCCAUGGAGCAUAGUAUACUCAUGUUCCCGUCCAGAUCUGUGUGUAUGACAAUAUGAUCCACUGCCAAAUUGAGAUCAUCUAUACAAUGUAAGUGCACGGUUCUGGAGCGCGUCAGGAUGUAUAGCGGCCAGCAGACAGUGGUGGAUCUUGGAUUUAAUCACAGAAAAUACCCUUUCAACACUCGUUGUUGCCACUGGUAAAAGCAAUAUCAAUUUGAGAAGCAAGUAAACCAUAUCAUACACUUUGUGCCUUCGUAUUUGAACAAGCUUAACUGAGAGAUCAACGAUGCUGUCUGGACCCUUGAAGCUAUCAUCUCGUCGCAUGUCAUCAAUAUAAUUAUCAAGUUGCAAUUCAAGUUUUAGCAAAUCAUUGUUGGAGAAGUCCUUAGGAUAAAAUUCAGCCAAUCUGCGUACCUUCUGUGCAUCAAAUGAAGCAAAUGAAUUGGAAGGACUGAAGGCUGACAUACACGAAAGUAGCUCCAUAUUGAUCUCAUCAAACCGAUUAUCAAGCUCUUGACUAAUUUGAUCAAUGACACCAAUAUAUACUUCUCUUCUAAAAUGAUCAUCA